UACGUAGGGUGCAAGCGUUGUCCGGAAUUAUUGGGCGUAAAGAGCUCGUAGGCGGUUUGUCGCGUCUGCUGUGAAAACUCGGGGCUUAACUCCGGGCCUGCAGUGGGUACGGGCAGACUAGAGUGCGGUAGGGGAGACUGGAAUUCCUGGUGUAGCGGUGAAAUGCGCAGAUAUCAGGAGGAACACCGGUGGCUAAGGCGGCUCUCUAGUACGGUACUGACGCUGAGACGCGAAAGCGUGGGGAGCGAACAGG
rnacentral:rRNA from 1 species